GAUGAAGAACGUAGCGAAAUGCGAUAAGUAGUGUGAAUGGCAGAAUUCAGUGAAUCAUCGAAUCUUUGAACGCACAUUGCGCCCGCCAGCAUUCUGGCGGGCAUGCCUGUUCGAGCGUCAUUUCAACCCUCGAGCCCCCCCGGGGGCCUCGGUGUUGGGGGACGGCACACCAGCCGCCCCCGAAAUGCAGUGGCGACCCCGCCGCAGCCUCCCCUGCGUAGUAGCACACACCUCGCACCGGAGCGCGGAGGCGGUCACGCCGUAAAACGCCCAACUUUCUUAGAGUUGACCUCGGAUCAGGUAGGAAUACCCGCUGAACUUAAGCAUAUCAAUAAGCGGAGGA
rnacentral:misc_RNA from 1 species